UACAGAGGUCCCGAGCGUUGUUCGGAUUCAUUGGGCGUAAAGGGUGCGUAGGCGGCUUUCUAAGUCUGAUGUGAAAUCCUGGGGCUCAACCCCAGAACUGCAUUGGAUACUGGAAGGCUAGAGUACUGGAGAGGAAACUGGAAUUUACGGUGUAGCAGUGAAAUGCGUAGAGAUCGUAAGGAAGACCAGUGGCGAAGGCGAGUUUCUGGACAGUAACUGACGCUGAGGCACGAAGGCCAGGGGAGCAAACGGG
rnacentral:rRNA from 1 species